rnacentral:rRNA from 1 species
AUUGAACGCUGGCGGCAUGCCUUACACAUGCAAGUCGAACGGCAGCACGGGAGCAAUCCUGGUGGCGAGUGGCGAACGGGUGAGUAAUAUAUCGGAACGUGCCCAGUAGUGGGGGGAUAGCCCGGCGAAAGCCGGAUUAAUACCGCAUACGACCUGAGGGUGAAAGCGGGGGAUCGCAAGACCUCGCGCUAUUGGAGCGGCCGAUAUCAGAUUAGCUAGUUGGUGGGGUAAAGGCCUACCAAGGCUACGAUCUGUAGUUGGUCUGAGAGGACGACCAGCCACACUGGGACUGAGACACGGCCCAGACUCCUACGGGAGGCAGCAGUGGGGAAUUUUGGACAAUGGGCGCAAGCCUGAUCCAGCAAUGCCGCGUGCAGGAAGAAGGCCUCGGUGUAACUAGCUUUGUCU